AUGAUGAGUUUAUGUGAUGUGGACGUUAAUACCAUUGUUACACCCACGGUCCCUACUGCUAUACAUACCGAACCAAUUACUAGAGCUCGCACACGUCAAUUGAAUUACCGGGUACUUUCGUUUCUUGGUAACAAUUCUAAUGUUCAUGAGAAUAUGACGCUGCCUAAAUUGGAUACAUUUUUUUGCUUGCAAAUAAAUGGCCUAGCUUGGACAAGAAAGAUGAACAUUGGAGCAAGAUCAAACAUGGAGUUGAUGGCAUGCGCAAGGGAAAUAAGAACGGAGUUUCAAGUAAUGAUUUCACAACUUUGA
rnacentral:rRNA from 1 species